rnacentral:rRNA from 1 species
GACGAACGCUGGCGGCGUGCUUAACACAUGCAAGUCGAACGGAAAGGCCCUGCUUUUGUGGGGUGCUCGAGUGGCGAACGGGUGAGUAACACGUGAGUAACCUGCCCUUGACUUUGGGAUAACUUCAGGAAACUGGGGCUAAUACCGGAUAUGAGCUCCUGCUGCAUGGUGGGGGUUGGAAAGUUUCGGCGGUUGGGGAUGGACUCGCGGCUUAUCAGCUUGUUGGUGGGGUAGUGGCUUACCAAGGCUUUGACGGGUAGCCGGCCUGAGAGGGUGACCGGCCACAUUGGGACUGAGAUACGGCCCAGACUCCUACGGGAGGCAGCAGUGGGGAAUAGUGCACAAUGGGCGGAAGCCUGAUGCAGCAACGCAGCGUGCGGGAUGACGGCCUUCGGUUUGUAAACCGCUUUCGCCUGUGACGAAGCGUGAGUGACGGUAAUGGGUAAAGAAGCACCGGCUAACUACGUG